ensembl:lncRNA
AUUUAUUAAUGCCUAAAUCUCAGGAGUUCCAAAAGGCAUUAUAAGCAAGUUAUACCAUGGCAUCACAGCACUGAAUAUGGAGACAACAGAAUUUUUGAAAGAAAACGGAAAACUGGACAUUGAAAUAACUGAUGUGCAGCUGAAUGCAUGGGAAACGGUUUCCAUUUUUAUCCCUCAAACAGAAAUGUACCAAGUUGCUGAACGGGAUUUACAAAAGAUAUUCAUGUGAAGUAGAGUAAUACAAGCAAUGUGAUCAUGCAGGUCAAUGGGUGGGCUCCAUUGCACUGCCAGAAGUGUCCUAUAGGGGCAGCGGAGCAGGGGGUAACUUGUCCUAGUCUGUGAAGAACAGGAUUUUAGAGAAGAUGUAAAAGAAAUUGGCUAGAGAAUCACAGUUUUACACUAGUAUAUAUUACACCAAGUAUAGUUCUAGUCUGCUUGUCACAGUUUUGAUAAUCAGUUGUACCAAGCUGGGAUCAGAUCACGCUUCGGUCGAGUUUUUGUCACAGCGCCCAUUGCACAGGGAACAAGCUGCUAGGCGAGGGUGCUACAAUUCGGCCUUUUGUUUACAUCAUGUCCCAGCAGUUACUAUAGCAUCAUCCUUAUAAUAAAAAAUAAUACGUUUGAGGGCUUCCAAGUUCCAACUCACCUUUCACAAGGUGGCCUCCCGUCACUCACCACCAGAGCCAUCUCGUUGCAUACGCCGGCCCUGUUAUAGAAGACAUAGGAAAUAUGAGGCAGAUGAACUUUAGGACAUCAAGGAAGGAGAUGCAUUCUCUGGCAGGAUCAGAUAAACGCUUCGGUCCGGUUUUUGUCAUUGCACCCCCUCACUGUGAACAGACUGCUGGGAGGGGGGCUUCAUUCGGCCUUUUGUCACAUCAUUUCCAGAGAAUCAUAUUGUACAAUUAUGGACGUUAUACUUUGCAAUGAAAGAUCGCAAAAAGAUACACGUUAGGUUGGAAAAACACUCACUUUAGCUUGGCUGGUUCCCAGAAGAGCUUGUCAGUCCCGCAGAUUAUUUAGGCAACAGAUCAUAGCAGGGCUGGUCCAAGGAGGCACAGCAACUGACGGGAAAAAUUCAGAUCUUGAUUAGAGCACAAUCUAAAGAGAAUGAGCCAAUAAGGCGACAUGGUCUAAUACCAUAGGCUGCUGGGAUCAGUGUUCGCUUCGGUCCUGUUUUUUGUCACUGCAACCCUGCACUGACAUAAAGCCAGACAAGGCGCUAUAAUUCGGCCUUUUGUUUACAUCAUAUCCCAGCAUCAUGAUGCUCUAUAGAUCCUGGCGAUAGUCAGGAAGUACCCAGACAGCACAUAAAUAAAUCACGGCUUUGUUAAAUACCUCACCUCCUUUCGGAAUAAUUGCACCUUCAGCCCCAGCAGCACCACCAGAUUCACCCCAGUCCUGACAUGGAAUAUAAAAGGAGAACUUUGAUGAGUUAUGAUACAGGGGAAUAUGAAGCCUAUCGAAAUCCCAUAAUGAAGUAAAGAUCGCCUGUUUCUCAGCUGCCUGGAUCAGAUAAACGCUUCGGUCCGGUUUUUGUCAUUGCACCCCCUCACUGUGAACAGACUGCUGGGAGGGGGGCUUCAUUCGGCCUUUUGUUACAUCAUUUCCAGAGUACCAUUAUUAAUGCUUUACUUUGCUACCUAUGAAUUAUCACAAAAACUAAUUCCACGGGAACGGUCAAAUACAAGACAAGCAGCAUUUAGGGUAAUUUAGUGUGCCACACUAAUCUGCCACUUUUCAAAAUGCAUGGUUAGGGUGGUAUUAUGGAAAAUCACUCACUUAAAGUUGGCCUUUUCUGUUUGUCUGUUUGUAAAGUUUGCACUUCCCUACAAGAGCUUGUCAAAGUCCCCUAGUUGUGGUGAUUUAGGUAACAGAUCAUGGAGGGGCUGAUCCAAGGGGUCACAGCACCUGAAGAGAAAUAGAAAAGUCAGAUUAGUACAGUAGAGCACAUCGAAUGAGAAGGAGCCGAUAAAGUGUAUUACUACAAGCUGCUGGGAUCAGUGUUCGCUUCGGUCCUGUUUUUUGUCACUGCAACCCUGCACUGACAUAAAGCCAGACAUGGUGCUAUAAUUCGGCCUUUUGUUUACAUCAUAUCCCAGAUGCUACAUGGAUCCUGGCAAAAUUCAGGAAGGACCCAGACAGAAAGACUUUGAUUAACACCUUACCUUCUAUCAGAAGGAUUACGACUUCAGUCCCAGCAUCACCCAAUUCCUGUCAUAGGACAUACAAGGAGACAAUUGAUGAGUAAUGAUAGAGGGAGAUAUGAAGGUCUAAAUUAGUAUCCAAUGAGAAGGAGCCGAUAAUGUACAUUACUAUAAGCUGCUGGGAUCAGUGUUCGCUUCGGUCCUGUUUUUUGUCACUGCAACCCUGCACUGACAUAAAGCCAGACAAGGUGCUAUAAUUCGGCCUUUUGUUUACAUCAUAUCCCAGCAGUAUGAUGCUACAUGGAUCCUGACAAAAUUCAGGAAGUAGGGGGGCUUCAUUCGGCCUUUUGUUACAUCAUUUCCACACGUGCUUCGUUUUAGCAAGCCACUUAAUUAUAGACGCUUAUUUUCCAAGUUAGGUUACCGUUUAACAUUGAUGGUAGAGAGCAUGUAUACCAAAUAACAGAAUAAUAACUUACAGGGAGAGCGAUUCUGUCCGCUGCCUUUCAUAAUCACCCAUGGUGCUUCUCUUAGUGGGUCCUACCCGAGUAGGUCCUCCACAAAUACAACGGCGCACGCAGGCCAAGAUCCACCAUCAUUGAGGUCAUGCUGGCAGCAAUGGGCCCUGUGCAGCCAUAGUACUACAGGGAAAACGUUUUUUUCCGAGAGAUGAACGGGGUCCAUUGUAACUGUAGAGAAGAAUUGGAUAUAAGCCAACAAAUCAUUUGAUUGUCGACUUGAAGUUCAUUUCUGGUAAUUAUUCUGCUACUGCGGAUCAGCAUUCGCUUCGGUCCGGUUUUUGUCACUGCGCCUUUGCAUUUACAACGUGUUGCAAGCCAAAGGGCUAUAAUUCGGCCUUUUGUUAACAUCAUGUCCCAGCAGCGCCGGCCAAAUGAAGGUUCAACAGAUACGAGCUAGGGCAACGUACCAAGACAUCACUUAAGUCGUACCAUUGCCAGACAAAAACACAUGUUACUUUAAGUAUUGAUGCAACACUGGUUAAAGACCCUUGGAUAAGAACGUAGCAAGCCUCAAAAUCUAGGCAUCUAGAAGGGAUUCACCAACAAAAUAUCCAAGUAAAUCGAAGCUAUGCUGUUAAUCACAUCAUUAUAUACAAUGUUUUGCCGUCUUACCUUUGGUUCAGAUGUCUAAAGUAACACGCUGAUGCUGGUAUUGAUCCGUAGUCAAACAGUUGUGGAGCCGCCGUCUUUUAAACGUGGUCUUGUAGACGGGACCGGAAAGGAACUACUUCAGGUUCCGGGCUGAUUUGGCGGGAAAGACAGACCAUCGGACCUGUUAGAGACCGUUUGUUUUCAGACUGAUGUUACCAUGGACCUAAUAAGGAAUGAAGAAUUAAAGACCUAUUAGGCAAGGCAAGGCAACUUUAUUUAUAUAGCAAUUUUCAUACACAAGGCAGACUCAAAGUGCUUCACAUAUAAACAUUGUCAUACAAUUAAAUUAAAUAAUAGAUAAGUAAUAGUAAAACAUAUGCAAAGAAAUGGGUAAAAUAGAAAGUUAAAAAGGCAUUUUAUUAUUAAAAUAGAAAAUAAAGGCAAAGUUAAAAAAGCUUUUUAGAAAGUGGAAUGUAUUUAAGAUUUAGCAGAAAGCUAUAGCAAACAUAAAAGUCUUCAGUCUUGUUUUAAAGGUGCUCAGAGUUGGGGCAAGUCUUAAAUCCUCUGGGAGUUUAUUCCAGUUAUUUGUUGCAUAAUAACCAAAUCCUGCUUUCCCAUGUUUUGUGUUUACUCUGGGGAUAAUUAACAGAUUGGUCUCAGAGCUUCUUAGUGGUCUAGAAGGCUGAUGUAGUGGAAGGAUGUAAAGCCAUCGAAACUGUCAGUCAUCUACAUAAAGUACAUUUUUUAAAAAGACUAGAUUUUAAAGGAAUAUAGGCAUUCCUUAGCAUCUCGUCUAUUUGGUGGCACCAGAAGUUUAGUUCCAGAAUAUCUUCAUUGCAAAGUAUGAAACAGGUUUCUCCUCUCACCGUCAAGUAGACUUACUAAAGAAGGCUAUACUUAAUUUGAAUAAGAUGUUAAAUUAUUUAGUAUUGUGCAUCCUGCUUUCAAUUAAAGUUACAAAAUAUAAACAGCUAAAAAUAUAAGAAAACAUGUCCCAUGAGAUAUUGCACAAUGGUACGCUAGAUGGCGCCACGGCCCAGAAAUCUUGCUAUGCUUCGCUGACUGAGUAAAACCAAGAAGAAAGAAUAGAGGUUGUAGAAGAAGAGUUUAUGUGUUUACUUUCGGUGUUGUUGUUUGGACUAUACUGUAUAAAUCCCAUGUAUCCCAUGCAAUUCUUAACAAUUUGGAUUCACCAUGACCUUGAAUAUGUAUAGUCUAUUUGGGGACACCGAGGCGGGAUUACGUUUUUGUGAACCAAGCAAGCAGAAUAAACCAGUUUAACCACGGGUCAGUUCCAACUUCCCUUACACUCUUUAAGUCUUGUAUGUACCACUACACAUAUCUUCGUCUUUCGAAACACGACACGAUGCAUUCUGUGAAGGAGCAGUACAGGGACAUAAACCCCGUGACGGUGAACGUUAUAGAAGCGAACGUCACGUCGAGUCUGUACUGCGGCGCGGUCCACGGGCUCGAUGCCCCUGGUGCUGAUCUAGUCGAAGCCUUUCUCGUAGAACUGUAUCGCUGCAGGGUGUGUCAGUUCACAAGCAGCCUGAAGAGCAGCAUCAAGACCCAUUUGCUGAAUUCCCAUGACGACCUGCCUCCCGCGAUGGCCUCCUCCGGCUUUGAGGAAGAGGAGGCUGUAGUGAUGGAGCAUAUAGCCCCCCGCACCCCCGACUCUCCCUAUAACCUGGAACUCGAGCUCACGUCCGAGUCCAAUCACAGUGACGAUGACCCCAUGGAUCACAUGGGUCUGGACCGCAUGUCCUUCCUGCUGCCCAUGUACGGCAUUCUGCCCAGCAUGAGUCCACGAUCAUGUGACAUGGGCAUGAGUUCGAACUGUGACGGUGGUCUUCAAGUGGCGGAGACCUGUGAGGUCAGCACUCUGUUUGAGGAUGAAGAUGACGAAGAGGAGGAGGAGGAGGAGGGGGCAGAUGGAGAGGAGCCCACCAUCUUCCACCUGAAGGCCUCCUGCCCCCUGGUCCGCCCACCCAACCAGCUGGACGACCAGCUGGCCCAGUCCGCCCACCUCAUGACCCUGGGGCUCUGCCGGAUCUCCAAGACCCCCAACGUGUCCACUCCCCCGGCUCAGGUGCCCGCUUCUGUGCUGGAUGACAAGGUGGCCCCGCCUGCGUCCGCGGACCCGCUGGGCUCCAGAGGGCCAGCUGGCCAACAGGGGGUGAAGGCAGAGGAGAGGCCGGCCAGCGGAGGGUGUCGACAGUGUGGCCGGAGAAUGAGGAGGCAGGGGAAGACGAAGAGCGGCAAGACGCAGAGCUGCCGUGCGUGCCAGCGCUCCGAUAGAACCCAGCACGCCGGUGACGCGCGAGCACCUCACAGACACUCACAGACACUCACCGCUACCGCACAAAGCACCAAGGCAGCUGCUGAGCACCACACGCACACACCCAACGCGCAGAGAGCUGGCAAGGGCAAGCGACACACAUUGAGCAUACAGUCGUCAGGAACACACACAGAGGGCACACGGACAGACCGCACGAACGCCAAAGACAUUCGCGUGCAGCCGCGACGCAUGGCUGAGCGGUGUGUUCUGUGACUACAAAGGUGCAGCGGUUGUCACACACAAAACUGAGGAGGAAAUCGAUCGCCGCCUCUCAUCAAGACUGACAGACACACCUUCUUACCAACCAACCAGUAGGGGGCGGAGCCACAAUGGGGCAGAAUCCACCCAACCUCACAGGACCAGGAAGCAGAGCAGAAGCCCAGAGGGGAACACGGGAUCGAAGAAGAAAGCCCCCAAGGAGACCAUUGGUCGAAGGGACCUGUGCUGUCUGCUCUGUGACAGGAAGUUCUGCAGCAGGCUGACCCUGCGUCGUCACAUGGGCAUCCACCAGGGUAGCAAGCCUUACAGCUGCCAGCUGUGCCCCUACCGCAGCCGCCUCAAGGCCUCCCUGCUGCAGCACAACCGCAUCCACACAGGUCAGCCCACACCUGCUCCUGGGCCACACCUCCAGGCUGUAAACAGGCCACCCUCUGGUGGUCGGAAGACCACAGUGAACCCAAUGAUCCAAAUUAAAUAACAGGGAUGAUGGAGAGGUACAGAUGGAUGAUGGGGAAGGGACUGAAUGAUGGAGGGAUGAUGUAGAAGUGACUGAAUGAUGGAGGGAUGAUGCAGAAGUGACUGAAUGAUGGAGGGAUGAUGGAGAAUGAUGG